GUACCGCAAACCGACACUGGUAGGUGGGUAGAGUAUACCAAGGGGAGCGAGAGAACCUUCGUUAAGGAAUUAGGCAAAUUUCCCCCGUACGUUCGCAAUAAGGGGGGCCUCUGGUGGUUAGCUUCGGCGAGGCUGCUGGAGGCCGCAGUGAAAUGGCUCUUCCAACUGUUUAACAAAAACACAGGUCUCUGCUAAGUCGAAAGACGAAGUAUAGGGGCUGACGCCUGCCCAGUGCUGGAAGGUUAAGGGGAGAGGUUAGGGGUAACCCGAAGCUUUGAGCCGAAGCCCCAGUGAACGGCGGCCGUAACAAUAACGGUCCUAAGGUAGCGAAAUUCCUUGUCGGGUAAGUUCCGACCCGCACGAAUGGCGUAAUGAGAGGAGCACUGUCUCAACGAGGGACUCGGCGAACAUUGAAGGACGUGUGAAGAUACACGUGACCCGCAGCGGGACAAAAAGACCCCGUGAAGCUUUACUAUAACUUGCCAUUGAGUUAGGGCUAAACUUGUGUAGUAUAGGUGGGAGGCUUUGAAGCUGGGACGCCAGUCUCGGUGGAGCCGCCGUUGAAAUACCACCCUGGUUUAUUCUUGGCUCUAACCUGUCGCCGUUAUCCGGCAUGGGGACAGUGGCUGGUGGGUAGUUUGACUGGGGCGGUCGCCUCCUAAAGAGUAACAGAGGCGCCCAAAGGUUCCCUCAGGCUGAAUGGAAACCAGCCGUUGAGUGUAAAGGCACAAGGGAGCUUGACUGCAAGACAUACGCGUCGCGCAGGUACGAAAGUAGGGCUUAGUGAUCCCACGGUUCCGAGUGGAAGGGCCGUGGCUUACCGGAUAAAAGCUACUCCGGGGAUAACAGGGUAGUCUGGUCCAAGAGUUCAUAUCGACGACCAGGUUCGCCACCUCGAUGUCGGCUCAUCGCAUCCUGGGGCUGGAUAAGGUCCCAAGGGUUGGGCUGUUCGCCCAUUAAAGUGGUACGUGAGCUGGGUUCAGACCGUCGUGAGACAGGUCGGUCUCUAUCCGCUGUGGGCGCAAGGGAUUUGAGAGAAGCUGUCCCUAGUACGAGAGGACCGGGAUGGACAGACCUCUAGUGUGCCAGUUGUUCCGCCAGGAGCAUCGCUGGGUAGCUACGUCUGGCAGAGAUAACCGCUGAAAGCAUCUAAGUGGGAAACUCGUCUCAAGAUUAGAUCCCUCAUCCGUAUGGAGUAAGACCGCUAGAAGACUACUAGUUUGAUAGGCGGCAGGUGUAAGCAUAGUAAUAUGUUCAGCCAAGCCGUACUAAUGGUCGAGGGCUUACGAU
rnacentral:rRNA from 1 species